rnacentral:rRNA from 1 species
UACGGGGGGGGCAAGCGUUGUUCGGAAUUACUGGGCGUAAAGGGCUCGUAGGCGGCCAACUAAGUCCGACGUGAAAUCCCCAGGCUUAACCUGGGAACUGCGUCGGAUACUGGAUGGCUUGAAUUCGGGAGAGGGAUGCAGAAUUCCCGGUGUAGUGGUGAAAUGCGUAGAUAUCGGGAGGAACACCAGUGGCGAAGGCGACUACCUGGCCUGUUCUUGACGCUGAGGCGCGAAAGCUAGGGGAGCAAACGGG